GUGCCAGCAGCCGCGGUAAUACGGAGGGUGCAAGCGUUAAUCGGAAUUACUGGGCGUAAAGCGCACGCAGGCGGUCUGUCAAGUCGGGUGUGAAAUCCCGGGCUCAACCUGGGAACUGCAUUCGAAACUGGCAGGCUAGAGUCUUGUAGAGGGGGUAGAAUUCCAGGUGUAGCGGUGAAAUGCGUAGAGAUCUGGAGGAAUACCGGUGGCGAAGGCGGCCCCCUGGACAAAGACUGACGCUCAGGUGCGAAAGCGUGGGAGCAAACAGGAUUAGAUACCCUGGUAGUCCACGCCGUAAACGAUGUCGACUUGGAGGUUGUGCCCUUGGAGGCGUGGCUUCCGGAGCUAACGCGUUAAGUCGACCGCUGGGAGUACGGCCGCAAGGUAAACUCAAAUGAAUUGACGGG
rnacentral:rRNA from 1 species